CGGUUGCCGAGAUAUAAAGACUCGAAGUGUUCAUUUAAGACAGCGCAGAAAUUAUGAAUGAGUUGGCGACCUUCGUUCUUCCUGGAAAUGCGUACUACGUUCUUCCAGGAAUCGCGUCUGCCGCUUGUCUACAGUUUGGAAUAGGUCAGUGAGACGAGGUACGAGCGAGAGAUCCGAGUAAGCAACAAGGACGGGGAUAACGGAUUAAAAAUUACCCUUUUCUUUACACGACGAUAUCUCGGGAACCGGAAGUGGUAUCGAGAUAAAUGAAAAAGCGUUUGAAAGGGCAAGGUUCCACGCUUCUAAUGAUCUUUGAUUCGUCGAU